GACGAACCGUGCGAACGUUGUUCGGAAUCACUGGGCUUAAAGGGCGCGUAGGCGGGCUGCCAAGUCUGUGGUGAAAUCCUCCAGCUUAACUGGAGAACGGCCGUGGAUACUGGCGGUCUCGAGGGAGAUAGGGGCAAGCGGAACUGUGCGUGGAGCGGUGAAAUGCGUUGAUAUGCACAGGAACUCCGGUGGCGAAGGCGGCUUGCUGGAUCUCUUCUGACGCUGAGGCGCGAAAGCUAGGGGAGCGAACGGG
rnacentral:rRNA from 1 species